UACGGGGGGGGCAAGCGUUGUUCGGAAUUACUGGGCGUAAAGGGCUCGUAGGUUGCCAACUAAGUCAGACGUGAAAUCCCUCGGCUUAACCGGGGAACUGCGUCUGAUACUGGAUGGCUUGAGUUCGGGAGAGGGAUGCGGAAUUCCAGGUGUAGCGGUGAAAUGCGUAGAUAUCUGGAGGAACACCGGUGGCGAAGGCGGCAUCCUGGACCGACAUUGACGCUGAGGAGCGAAAGCCAGGGGAGCAAACGGG
rnacentral:rRNA from 1 species